rnacentral:rRNA from 1 species
CCUACGGGAGGCAGCAGUAAGGAAUAUUGGUCAAUGGGGGCAACCCUGAACCAGCCAUGCCGCGUGCAGGAUGAAGGCCCUAUGGGUCGUAAACUGCUUUUAUACCAGAGAAAACCCUCGUACGUGUACGAGGUUGAUAGUAUGGUAAGAAUAAGCAUCGGCUAACUUCGUGCCAGCAGCCGCGGUAAGACGAAGGAUGCAAGCGUUAUCCGGAUUCAUUGGGUUUAAAGGGUGCGUAGGCGGACUUGUAAGUCAGUGGUGAAAUCUCUUUGCUUAACAAAGAAACUGCCAUUGAUACUGCAGGUCUAGAGUAUAGAUGACGUUGGCGGAAUAUGACAUGUAGUGGUGAAAUACUUAGAUAUGUCAUAGAACACCGAUUGCGAAGGCAGCUAACGAAACUAUAACUGACGCUGAGGCACGAAAGUGCGGGGAUCAAACAGGAUUAGAUACCCUGGUAGUCCGCACCGUAAACGAUGAUUACUCGUUGUUGGCGAUAUGACAGUCAGCGACCAAGCGAAAGCGAUAAGAAUCCACCUGGGGAGUACGCCGGCAACGGUGAAACGUCAAAGAGUAGUAGACGGNGAGAGACGACGACGACGGACGACGAGGAGGGAGGAGG